rnacentral:rRNA from 1 species
GAUGAACGCUGGCGGCGUGCCUAAUACAUGCAAGUCGAGCGAACAGAUGAGGAGCUUGCUCCUCUGACGUUAGCGGCGGACGGGUGAGUAACACGUGGAUAACCUACCUAUAAGACUGGGAUAACGUCGGGAAACCGGAGCUAAUACCGGAUAAUAUAUUGAACCGCAUGGUUCAAUAGUGAAAGACGGUUUUGCUGUCACUUAUAGAUGGAUCCGCGCCGCAUUAGCUAGUUGGUAAGGUAACGGCUUACCAAGGCGACGAUGCGUAGCCGACCUGAGAGGGUGAUCGGCCACACUGGAACUGAGACACGGUCCAGACUCCUACGGGAGGCAGCAGUAGGGAAUCUUCCGCAAUGGGCGAAAGCCUGACGGAGCAACGCCGCGUGAGUGAUGAAGGUCUUCGGAUCGUAAAACUCUGUUAUUAGGGAAGAACAAAUGUGUAAGUAACUAUGCACGUCUUGACGGUACCUAAUCAGAAAGCCACGGCUAACUACGUG